GAUGAACGCUGGCGGCGUGCCUAAUACAUGCAAGUCGAGCGAACGGACGAGAAGCUUGCUUCUCUGAUGUUAGCGGCGGACGGGUGAGUAACACGUGGAUAACCUACCUAUAAGACUGGGAUAACUUCGGGAAACCGGAGCUAAUACCGGAUAAUAUUUUGAACCGCAUGGUUCAAAGGUGAAAGACGGUCUUGCUGUCACUUAUAGAUGGAUCCGCGCUGCAUUAGCUAGUUGGUAAGGUAACGGCUUACCAAGGCAACGAUGCAUAGCCGACCUGAGAGGGUGAUCGGCCACACUGGAACUGAGACACGGUCCAGACUCCUACGGGAGGCAGCAGUAGGGAAUCUUCCGCAAUGGGCGAAAGCCUGACGGAGCAACGCCGCGUGAGUGAUGAAGGUCUUCGGAUCGUAAAACUCUGUUAUUAGGGAAGAACAUAUGUGUAAGUAACUGUGCACAUCUUGACGGUACCUAAUCAGAAAGCCACGGCUAACUACGU
rnacentral:rRNA from 1 species